ACAUGUGAGGAUGAUCUGGCUGUGACACCUGUCACCCCACUGAUCUCCAGAGUUGAUUCGGCUGAUCAGGCUGGCUGGGCAGGUGUCCCCUUUCUCCCUCACCACUCCGCAUGCAUUCCUCCCGAAACUGCACACUUGGUCAAAGAGGAAGACCUUUCCUGAUAGAGGAGGACCAUUCUUCAGUCAAGGGUAUAUGAGCACCUGUUCUGUCCUGCCAGAAUCUCCGAAGGAGCUCUCAGUAAAAUCACAAGAUUUUAUUGUGCAUGGUAGCAUGAGCCUGUAAUCCCAGCUACUCAGGAGGCCGAGCUAGGAGGACUGCUUGAGCCCAGGAGU
ensembl:misc_RNA RN7SKP259 RN7SK pseudogene 259